rnacentral:rRNA from 1 species
GUGAGGAAUAUUGGUCAAUGGGCGAAAGCCUGAACCAGCCAUGUCGCGUGAAGGAUGAAGGUCCUAUGGAUUGUAAACUUCUUUUGCAGGAGGGUAAAGUGAGCUACGUGUAGUUCAUUGCAAGUACCCUGCGAAUAAGCAUCGGCUAACUCCGUGCCAGCAGCCGCGGUAAUACGGAGGAUGCGAGCGUUAUCCGGAUUUAUUGGGUUUAAAGGGUGCGUAGGCGGACUAAUUAGUCAGCGGUGAAAUUUUGCGGCUCAACCGUAAAAAUGCCGUUGAAACUGUUAGUCUUGAGUGCGGUAGAGGUAGGCGGAAUGUGUGGUGUAGCGGUGAAAUGCUUAGAUAUCACACAGAACACCGAUUGCGUAGGCAGCUUACUGGAGCGCAACUUACGCUGAGGCACGAAAGCGUGGGGAUCGAACAGGAUUAGAUACCCUGGUAGUCC